GUUAACCCGGGAAGGACCAGGAUUAGACAAGGAGUUCGUCCUAGGGGACACCGUCCCGACAUCCAUUGGGAAAUUGAUUUUACUGAAAUUAAACCAGGUAUAUAUGGAUACAAGUAUCUCCUAGUGUUUGUAGACACCUUCUCAGGAUGGGUCGAAGCCUUCCCCACAAAGCACGAGACUACAAAAAUGGUCACCAAGAAGCUCCUCGAGGAAAUCUUUCCCAGCCCUUCUCUGAGGGCCCAUUUACAGGCCCUACAGAUUGUGCAGAGAGACGUCUGGAGACCUUUGGCCGCUGCUUACCAGGACAAGCUUGAACAUCCGGUGGUGCCACACCCGUUCCAGAUUGGAGACACCGUGUGGGUACACAGACACCAGACCAAGAAUCUCAAGCCACGGUAGAAAGGACCCUACACCGUCCUCCUGACUACCCCGACCGCCCUAAAGGUAGACGGAGUCUCGACUUAGAUCCACACACCACACUUCAAGACAGUCCGGUCUGAGGAAUUGACUAAUCACAACACUACACCCCAGACAUGGAGAGUUCAGCGCACUCCAAACCCCUUAAAGUUAAAACUCCUACGUGGCUCCUCCUAGCCCUUUUGUGGCCUAGAGUAGUGGGGAAAUAAGCCCCCACCAGACAGAAAUUUCUUGACCAAGUCGAGUGAAAGAUUUCACUCAAAGUUAACAAAAAAAAAAUGGGGGAAUGAAAGACCCCAGCUUAGCAGCAGUAACGCCAUUUUGCAAGGCUGUACUUAAGAUGACUGGUUCAGGGAAAGGUUAGAACACUGAGUACACAGCGGCUGCCAAGCAGGAUGUGUUUGGUUGAAGGCCUGGCAACAGGACGACUUCGGUUGAGCACCUGACAAUGAAAAAAAGCCCCGAGAGAGGUCCCACACCCUGGUGGGGGGCCGAGUCAGUCGUUAUGUUCCAAGAAGGUAGCUAAGAAACUUGCCCCCGGGCUGAACCCUUGGGGGGCCGAGUCAGCCGUUAUGUUUCAGGAAGGUAGCUAGGAAACUUGCCCCCGGGCUAAACCCUUGCCAUAUUAGAAUCCACCAAUUAUAUCCCUGUAACCAUGCAUCUGCUUCUGUAUGCUUGCUUCUGCUCCCCAAAAUCCUAUAAAAGCCCAUCCUUGGUUCCGUGGGGCGCACCAGUCCCCCGAGUGACUGAAGCGCCCGCAGGUGCCUGUGCCUGUGUAUCCCGACAAUAAACCAAAUCCUCUUGCUGAUUGCA